AUGAUACAAAUGUGCUGCUUCACAGGCAUGUUCCACAUCUCGUGGCAAAUAUCCCACAGGUGGCGUGUAUCUCACAGUGUGUGUCCCACAGUGUGUGUCACUGUGUGUGUCCCACAGUGUGCGUGUCCCACAGUGUGUGUCCUACAGUGUGUGUGUCACAGUGUGUGUGUCACAGGGUGUGUGUCACAGUGUGUGUGUCACAGUGUGUGUCCCACGGACACUGUGUGUCCCACGGACAGUGUGUGUCCCAGUGUGUGUCCCACGGACAGUGUGUGUCCUGUGUGUGUCCCACGGACAGUGGGUGUCCCAGUGUGUGUCCCACGGACAGUGUCUGUCCCACAUUCACGGGGCUCAGGCAGGGUCUGUGCUCUGCCUCCGUGGUGCCUCACAGCCUGCUGGCCAUCGGGGAGCUGCCCUGAGCCGCUGUGGGCUCCCCCGUCACCCGGUGGGACGGUCCCCGCGCCCCCCCAGCGCUGCCACCGCGGGGCACCCCGGGGGCUCCGGGCUCCCGGUCUCCGGCCCGCACGUCCUGGGUUCCAGGCGGAGCUCCCGGGAGCUCCUGCCUCGAUGGUGCUGAAAGAGGCCCCGGAGGCCGGGGCCGGCCCAGCCGGGCUGAGGUCACUGCUCGCUGGCCGGCAGCCCGUUCCCAGCGUGUUUGGCCCCACGGACGCGCAGCUCGGAGGAAGGAGCCGCGCUGCCCUUCAGGGCCCGGGCGGGGCUGCUGGGACCCCUCUGCUCGCCUGGGGCACCCCGGCAUGGACAGCUGGGGGCUGAGGGGUGGGAAACCCGCAGUGGAGGCUGCGGUCGGGACCACCGGCACCGCCAUCGCUCCGAGGGCAGCAGAGGGAGGAGAGGUCUGCCCCGGCGCCGUCCUGCCCUGCCCUGCCCGCAGCAGGCAGCCCGAACCGGGCACAGCUCGGCAGGGCUGCAGCUCUUCCCGAGGCCGCGGCAGCGCGGGGAGAAUGAGGGAAAGGGGCACCGAGAUCCUGAAACCCGGCCAGUGACCAAGGCUGCGCUAAGGCAAGCCCAGGUCCUGCUCCUGCCCCCCAGACCGCUGCGCAAUUACGGUUUCAAAUUUAAAAAUAAAUCAGAGUAAAGCUGUUUUCUUUCCUGCGUU
rnacentral:lncRNA from 1 species